GCCGGGCGCGGUGGCGCACGCCUGUAGUCCCAGCUACUCGGGAGGCUGAGGCAGGAGGAGCGCUUGAAUCCGGAGUUCUGGGCUGUAGUGUGCUAUGCCGAUCGGGUGUCCACACUAAGUUCGACAUCAAUAUGGUGACCUCCCGGGAGCGGGGGACCACCAGGUUGCCUAAGCAGGGGUGAAUCGGCCCAGGUCGGAAACGGAGCAGGUCAAAACUUCAGUGCUGAUCAGAAGUGUUGACUGGUUCAGUCAUGUUAUCAUCUGUAAAUUGUUUGGGCUUAAAUGAAACAGCUUAAA
rnacentral:SRP_RNA from 1 species